UGAAUUUAAUUUGAUCCUCGGAUAAAGAAGAAACCAAGGAUUACGUUGCAACAAUAAAAGUGGAAGUGAAAGCCCCGAGUAGGAAGCCAGCAACGCCGACAUAUUUAUUGUGGAGUGAAUAGGUACAAAUUGAAGUAAAAAAUUACACUUCUCAACAAGACUUUGUUCCUGGCAAUCAAAUCGCUCUAUUCUGAUGGCUUAUAUCCUCAUUUUAAACCUUGUAGGAAUAAGAAGGGGCGACUCCAGCGAUGUCGCAGAAGUCUGAAAAGCUUUGUUUUGCAACCUAUCCGACAUGCUUCACUUGACGAGAUGGAUAUACAAGUCGAGAGUUGUUAUAAAGUUGAGGAAUCUCUUUACUUGGUGGUCAUUUAUAGCCAAGCCAAAUACAAAUACAAGUUGAAUUAAUUGCAGCGUGUGAAAGCAGUAGCACAUUCACGUAAUGUGCCACCAUCUUUGCAAUGCAAAGCACUUCUUUCAGCCAGCUACGGAUAGGCGAAAGAUCGCAAUGUAUGCAAGUCCUUCCUGAUCAUGUAAACAAUAGUUAAUUUAAUCUACAGUCAGUUUUUCAAGACAGUACCUACCACCGAGGAUUGGACAAUUGAUCUGAUUCACUAUGUUCUUUUUUGCAGAAAUGCACAUUUGAAUAUCUUCCUUUUACAUUUUUUGGCGAACUCUGUGAUGUAGUUGGUCUCUGGAAUUCAAUUGAAAUACCUUCCUUCAUUCAUGAUUUAUUGCUUUCAAUGCGUCAAUAUCUUUAUUUCAAUUCUGCCUCUUGUUACCAACGAAGAAGGAGACAAGUUCGGAAAAUCUGCUGGCGAUGGUAUUUGGCUGGACGAAGAAAAAACGUCGCCUUUUUCUAUUUAUCAGUUCUUUUUGAAAAUGCCAGAUUCUGAGGUUGUUAAGAUUUUUCCAGAGCCUGGACUAUCCAAUCUUGAUCUGGCACUAAAAGCUUAAUGAUUAACAACAGAGACUGAUACGAUGAGAAUCAUCACAGCUGGAGGGUUCUAUAUCAAGCAAUAGCGAACUUAAAACUUCGCACUAAGAUCACACUAACUCAUCAGCACUAACAUCACAUACCAUUUCUAUCUAUUAGUUCAAAAUGUUAAAUGUCUCCUUUUUGUUGGCAAUGAUGAGCAUAUGGAUAAAAACAAUUUGUUUAGCUUAUAUCCAUAUUCAAUUUUACAUUAAUUGAAAAUCAUUAAUAAUAAUAUUGUAUUCUUUUUUUUU